GAUGAACGCUGGCGGCGUGCCUAACACAUGCAAGUCGAGCGGAGCGGCGGACGGGUGAGUAAUGCCUAGGAAUCUGCCUGGUCGUGGGGGAUAACGUCAGGAAACGGACGCUAAUACCGCAUACUAUCAGAUGAGCCUAGGUCGGAUGCGCUAGUUGGUUGGGUAAGGGCCUACCAAGACGACGAGCCGUAACUGGUCUGAGUGGGUGAACAGCCACACUGGAACUGAGACACGGUCCAGACUCCGACGGGAGGCAGCAGUGGGGAAUCUUGGGCAAUGGGCGAAAGCCUGACCCAGCAAUGCCGCGUGUGUGAAGAAGGUCGUCGGAUUGUAAAGCACUGUUAUUAGGGAGGCGUUACCUACAGAAUAAGCACCGGCUAACUUCGUGCCAGCAGCCGCGGUAAUUC
rnacentral:rRNA from 1 species